GUGAGUAUUACUGCUGAAUUAGUUCCUCCCUCACCGCUUCAUGUGCAUCCCCCAAAGCUGUGUGCUCAGUCGAGGAGGACAACCAUCCCUGAUAGAGGAGGAUCAGUCUUCUGUCAAGGGUAUACGAGUAGCUGCGCUCCCCUGCUAGAACUUCCAAAUAAGCUCUCAAGGUCCACUUUUGUAUUUUUCUAUCAGUAUGUGUGAUGCCCUAUUUCUUUUACUAGUUGAUGUACACUAUUUAUAUUUGCUUAUAUAAUUGU
rfam:Dipodomys ordii contig_55190, whole genome shotgun sequence.